ensembl:lncRNA
GUGAGGGCUCACAGGGCCCUGUGGACUUAGAGAUGGGGAGGAUAGAGGUGGGAGGAUGCCUGGGAGAUGCAGGGUUAAAGAGACCCGCUGAGGACUCACAGGGAGGAGGCCACAGAUUGUGGAGGCAAAAAGCCAGCGCGGAUCUGAUCAAGAACCAAGCCUCCAGAACUUCAUUUGCAAUUCGGCUGCUCCUUUGGCAAAAGGUCCCCUGUGCAGCUGUUCCACCCAGAGAGCCUCUGCCAGUCAGGCCCUCGACUCCCCUAGCAAGAGACCCUGAUGUUGACAGCUAUAAAUCCUUCUCUCAAGAGUGGCUGCCCUGCUUCAUGAGUGGCCAACAAGAAGCCUCUCAUCUCAGCAUCUGCUGGCCCCACAGUUUAGAGGGACUCUCUUGGCUUCUCUGUCUGGAACUCUCGGACCUGGGGCCACACACCUCUGCAGGCUGGCUCACCUCAAGAGAUCAUCAUUGCAGUUUGGCUGCCUCUGCUGCUGUGUGAUCGUCCUAAUAACACUGCACAAGUGAAGAUACCCAGUCUAGAAGUCCAUUGUGAUAUCUUCCAAGGACUUGCAGAAACAUUAUGUUGAGUUUUCCCUUCCUUUGUGGACACUGUCUCCUGAGAGAUGGACAAAGAGCCUCUCUCCAGGACUUCCUACCCUCAGUGGCCCUUGGCUUCCACUCAGC